rnacentral:misc_RNA from 1 species
AACGCACAUUGCGCCUGUCAGUAUUCUGACAGGCAUGCCUGUCCGAGCGUCAUUUCAACCCUCGAGCCCUAGCGGCCCGGUGUUGGGGCGCUGCAGCCCUGUGCUGUAGCCCCCGAAAUAUAGUGGCGGACCCGACGAGGACCCGAGCGCAGUAGUACCCCUCUCGCUCAGGGCGCCCCGGAGAGACUCCUGCCGUAAAACCCCCACUGUAACCACAUCUUGACCUCGGAUCAGGUAGGAAUACCCGCUGAACUUAA